UUGGGACGAGAUUGGGGAAUUGUGGCCCAGAACCAUAAAGCUGAGGGUAUUUCUUUAGGAGACAGGACAAGACAUCAAAAUUGUGGACGGCUAAGUUGGGCAGUGUACUGGCCGCACGCGCCAGAAAGGGAAUUCCGCGUCCAGAAAGGGAACCGAGCGUCGUUAGAGACACGCAGUUAGUGUGCCAGGCUGGGGUCGGAGCUUGAGGUUCUGGCUCCCGCUGGAAACCCACUUGCUCCACCGCCACCACCACCAUCACGUGGACGCAGAGUGGGCCACUUGGUUAAGGACAAAGCAUGAGAUCCAAGUACAGUAACGGAUCUCGGGCAAAAAUGAAGGCCAGUGUCAGAGACUAGACCUGGGCCUGUCUCCAGGGGGGGGAAAGUUUAGGAGCCGGUGGCAAGAAGGAGACCCAGAAGCCGCUCUUCGGGAUGGGGGGCUUGGAAGUAGGAAGACUCUGGCUCUCCAGGAGUGAAACUACCUCCCUCCAUCUCCAUACUCCCCGACAUUUUCGCCCUGCUGGCUCAUUUGUAGGGACCAAAACUUGUGGGAAAUACUCCUGAGGCUCACCAAAUUGUCUCAAAUUCAAAAUGGGAAUGACCCCCUUUUUUUUUCCUGUCACCAGUCCCUAAUCAAGCAGGGUAUCCAUCCAGAAGGCCACUGAAUAGACACACACACACACACACACACACACACACACACACACACCAUCACCAGCACCACCACACCAUCCAGCCCUGGCAAAAGGCACCGCACACACACCCACAGCAUGUUCGUCCCGUGUUCUGCGCGCCCGGCUGUAAUUAUCCGCGCGCUUUGCAUAAAUCACAAUGCAAUUCUGAAAUCAUCAUGAUGACUUUCUGGCAUGAUUGGUUCGGUGGCAACGGCAGCUACAAGAUCCAGGGUGGGCGGGAGGGGCUGGGGUGCACCCGCCCAUGGGGUCCAAGAGGAGCCUAGAGCCCAAGGGCCUGCAGGCUUCUGCUCAGUGGAAGCUGCUGCAGGCCACAGGGACCUCGGAUCUAAGCUUAGAGUCUUAAAAAAGGAAGUGGGGAGAAAGGAA
rnacentral:lncRNA from 12 species